rnacentral:lncRNA from 13 species
AUGGAUGCCUUCUUAAUCACAGGCUCUGUGGGUAAAGGGAAAGCCUUGCCUGGGCAGCCCCUCCCACCUCCACCCACCCCCUCCAUUGAUUCACAAACCUGGAAUACUCUGGAGGAGGCUGGGAAAGUCCAUCCCCAGGGAAUAUCACUUUUUUCCUCUUCCAUGCCUCUCACAGGACACCCACAAGACCAGGAGGCAGAACGUGAACAGGGAGGUCUUUCUUAUUACUACUUUUUGAGUGUCAGCAAGAAGUCAGGCUGGCCAUGUGACAUUGUUUGGUGUGUAAAGUAUGAACGGAAAAGAUGUGCUACUUCUGGGCAGAGAUUUUCAGAAUUAGCAUGUUCAACCAAUCUACAAAGGCCAAAAAUAUUUUCACAGGCCCCCAAAAGAUGAACUCCAAUCUGUUUCCCCUAAAUGCAUUAUCCACCGUCUGGAAGAUGUGCAAAGGCAACGGCACAGCGUUCUCCAUCUCAAAUCCUUCAAAGUGCUGUCAGAAUAAAAGAAUCCCCACCAAAAGCCCCAGGGAAAUCUAUCUGUCUGUAUGGUAUGGUAAUGACUGAGGUUAUUCCAGAUAGGAUUCUGGGAGAAACUCAGCUAUUGAAAUCUAAUGAAUGGAACUGAGAAUUUCUUGUUAUAAUACUAUUUCUUUUAUCAAAUAUAUCCUUGUGCAUAAGAAGACAUAAAAAUAAAUAAUAAAAGCAAGAUAUUGUUUGAAUUUUU